CUUUACUGUAGCUUUGCAUUGGACUUUGAACCGGUCUGUGUAGGAUAGGUGGGAGGCUUUGAAGCGUGGUCGCUAGAUCGCGUGGAGCCAUCCUUGAAAUACCACCCUGGUUUGUUUGAGGUUCUAACCAUGGCCCGUGAAUCCGGGUCUGGGACCGUGCAUGGUAGGCAGUUUGACUGGGGCGGUCUCCUCCCAAAGAGUAACGGAGGAGUACGAAGGUACGCUAGGUACGGUCGGACAUCGUGCUAAUAGUGCAAUGGCAUAAGCGUGCUUGACUGCGAGACCCACAAGUCGAGCAGGUACGAAAGUAGGUCAUAGUGAUCCGGUGGUUCUGUAUGGAAGGGCCAUCGCUCAACGGAUAAAAGGUA
rnacentral:rRNA from 1 species